GCCGAGGUGGCGGAAUUGGUAGACGCGCAUGCUUCAGGUGCAUGUAUCCUUUGGAUGUGGAGGUUCAAGUCCUCUUCUCGGCACCA
rnacentral:tRNA from 1 species